GUCAGGGUGGCAGAGUAGUGCAUUAGAUUUAGGAUCUAAAUAAAUGGGUUGGAUCCCUUUCCUGACA
rnacentral:tRNA from 2 species